rnacentral:rRNA from 1 species
AAUAGAUACCCGGGUAGUCCACGCCCUAAACGAUGCAUAUUUGGUGUAGGUCAUUCAGUUGAUCUGUGCCGGAGCUAACGCGUUAAAUAUGCCGCCUGGGGAGUACAGUCGCAAGGCUGAAACUCGAAAGGAAUUGACGGGGGCCCGCACAAGCGGUGGAGCAUGUGGUUCAAUUCGACGCAACGCGAAGAACCUUACCUGGGCUCGAACGGCUGGUCAACGGCGGUGGAAACAUCGCUACUCCGCAAGGAGGUCCAGUCGAGGUGCUGCAUGGCUGUCGUCAGCUCGUGUCGUGAGAUGUUGGGUUAAGUCCCGCAACGAGCGCAACCCUUGUCCUGUGUUGCCAGUCCGCAAGGAGGGACUCGCAGGAGACCGCCAGCGAUAAGCUGGAGGAAGGUGGGGAUGACGUCAAGUCCUCAUGGCCUUUACGCCCAGGGCGACACACACGCUACAAUGGAGGGCGGAAUGCGCCGCGACCCGGCAACGGGGAGCAAAUCGCCAAGACCCUUCGUAGUGCAGAGUU